UAAGAUGAUUUACCAGUUGGAGGCCAGAAGGAGAGGCAAUGUCGUGAGACUGUAUGAACCCAUCAGUGCUCUACAGACCACUGUUUGAGAACUGCUAAAAUAGGAAGUGUGAAGAUGUUAAGAGUUUAUGCUACAAGUAUUUUCCUGGAGUUGAACAUUAAUGACUCCAACUGAUUGGAUUUAAAGCCUAUUCUUGGUAACAGCUGACUUCAUUCCAACUUGUCCUUAACUGGGGGAUCCUAGAGAGCUGCCCCCUCAACACCUGCUGAAAGACUGACCUUGAUCAGGAGAAGAAAGACAUGUUUUCAGAACUUCUCCAGUUCUCAGAGACUGCUGACCUGGAGAAUAGGGCUUGGAGGGACCUCAUGCUGGAGAGAAGGCUGAGUGACCAGGAUUGGAAGGACCACAUGCUUGAGGAAUGGCAGAAGGACUUAGAAGUGCACUGAGAUGUGCAUGAUGACAUUAUGUAGCUCCUCAAGCAAUACAAACAGAUUUUGCACAGUAUUAUGGAGCAAAGUGCCCCAAACCUCUUCCCAGCAGCCAUUGCGCUCCAUCGACCAUUCAGUGUUCACAGGAAUGUACAGCACCCCUUUUCCCCAGCAAGGUGUAAGAAUAGACUUCUGUCUUAUCCUUACCAUCCCACGCCAGUGAAAAACAAGGAGAACGGUUAUGACUAAAUAUUCACUGACUUGUGAUUUAUGCAAGAUCAAUCAGCAAGUACAUUGCUCUUUGUUUUUUUUUAAAUAAGUAUAGGGACGGUUUAAUAAAUGCUGAUAAGUCUCAGCUUGUGGGUAAUUAGUUUGUUUUUCAUUACCACUCAAUACAAUUUUGUUUUCAAAAAAAUCAAGAUCUAUUUACUGGGUCUAACAAAAGAGAAAUGUAGCAGCCCAAAUCAUCACUCCUCCCACCAAAUUCAUAAAAGGAGCUAAAAUCCAUAUUCAAGUCAAGUUCCCAAAGAAGUACACAAAAGCAAGAUACUGCACUAUUAUGGCACAGUGUUAAAAUAGUCCUUUUAAGCCUUUCUUCGCUCCUUGAUGAGCUCCUGAGAUUGCCUUUGUGUCUGGCUGUUCGAAAGUAGCAGACAGUCUGACCACUUCACCCCUUCACUCUGCCAGGAACAUUUUCCCUUUUGCUUCACAAAUAUUAUGAAAACAAGUAGCAACGGGAAUAUUUACCUUGCUGAGAUCUAUCCUAGUGCUGAAGCAUUGCCAGUAUCCUUUCAAUUACCAAAUGCAUACAAUAGUCAUUCUGCGCCUACUCAGGCUGUAGUUAAAUCUUUCCUUGCUGGUGUCUACUAUACGGUUUCAUGAACCAGGAAAACAAAGGAAAGGCUGAGACCCCCCAGAAUCUUUACUGGCAUUUUAAUGCCAUCAAUGUGAAUGUGCCAGUCUAGGAAAAGUGUUCUAUUGUCUCUUUUGGACAAGUCCAAUAUUCCUUAGAAGUGACCAUCACAUACUUCUGACCAGCCAAUGUUAAUUUCAAUGAAACGUUCCUGGUGAUCCAUAAGUACAUGCCUAACUAUGGAGAAGUCAAGGGAUGCUGGAACAAUUUAGGCUCUCCCACCACAUAAAUGUU